GACGAACCGUGCGAACGUUAUUCGGAAUCACUGGGCUUAAAGGGCUCGUAGGCGGCCAACUAAGUCGGACGUGAAAUCCCUCGGCUUAACCGGGGAACUGCGUCCGAUACUGGAUGGCUUGAGUUUGGGAGAGGGAUGCGGAAUUCCAGGUGUAGCGGUGAAAUGCGCAGAUAUCAGGAGGAACACCGGUGGCGAAGGCGGGGUCUCUGGGCCGAUACUGACGCUGAGGAGCGAAAGCGUGGGGAGCGAACAGG
rnacentral:rRNA from 1 species